AACGAACGCUGGCGGCAUGCCUAACACAUGCAAGUCGAACGAACCCUUCGGGGUUAGUGGCGCACGGGUGCAUAACGCGUGGGAAUCUGCCCUUAGGUUCGGAAUAACUCAGAGAAAUUUGAGCUAAUACCGGAUGAUGACGUAAGUCCAAAGAUUUAUCGCCUGAGGAUGAGCCCGCGUAGGAUUAGCUAGUUGGUGUGGUAAAGGCGAACCAAGGCGACGAUCCUUAGCUGGUCUGAGAGGAUGAUCAGCCACACUGGGACUGAGACACGGCCCAGACUCCUACGGGAGGCAGCAGUGGGGAAUAUUGGACAAUGGGCGAAAGCCUGAUCCAGCGAUGCCGCGUGAGUGAUGAAGGCCUUAGGGUUGUAAAGCUCUUUUACCCGGGAUGAUAAUGACAGUACCGGGAGAAUAAGCUCCGGCUAACUCCGUGCCAGCCGCCGCCGUAA
rnacentral:rRNA from 1 species